rnacentral:lncRNA from 1 species
CGAUGCCUAAGUCAGUGAGGGUAGAGAGCAAAAGAGAUACUAGAUAGAAGUUAGAGAGAGAGAGUAAUUGCAAUAAUGAAUAGUGUUCUACCUUGCUCUCCCAAGAGGGAGAGUAUUUAUAGCCCCCAGCUCUGGGCCAAAGGUCCUCUUAGUGGGCUGGAUUAGCCAAGGCCCAUUAAGAGGGACUGCCAAGAUAUUACCCUUAGAUAGUGGGUAGAGUAGUAAUUUUACCCUAUCUUGGUGGAGAGGUUGUGCCAUGCUGACAUGGAGGUGGUUGGGCAAGCCACGUGGACUU